CGAAUCAUAAGAGAAUCACAACCCAUUUUUGAUUUGCUGGUGCUCCUCAAAGCAAUCCCUCAAGCAGAAGUUGCAAAAUGCCAGACACUCAAUCGAACGCCAGUCCUUCAAUCAAACGCCGAACCUUCAAAGCAAGCCCUCAACCUAGUAAGUGAAUCCCACAAUUUUUAUUUUUUUGAUAUCUGGAAGAUAAUGCAUGAAUCAUACUACAAUAUUUUCGAUGCCUGAACCCACGAAUCGGGUUAUAAACAAAUCCAAAUAAGUUGCCCCCGCGUGAAUGGUCCAGCAGUAGCGCCUUUCACUGGUGACCUUUAAGAUCCCAAGUUCGAGUCUCCGCUCCGCUGGGUUUCUCCGCACACUUAUCGCGUUCGGGUCGGGUUGGGGCGACGGGCCCGGGUCGCAGGGGAUUAGUCGGGCCCCGUAAGGAUUGACCCGAACACCCUGUGUCGACAAAAAAAAAAAAAGGGUUAUAAACAAAUCCAAGCAAACCUAGCUUUCAAACCGUCUGACUAGAUCUGAAAGUUUGGGCUUGCGUUUAAAUCUUUUGUGGGUUUAAAACGUAGUUCUGAGAUUGAUUCAUUUGUAUAUUUUUUGAUUUCUAAUACUAUUUUAUCAAUAAUACAUAGCCAUUCUUGUAUAAUGCAAAAUCAUGUGUUAACAUAUAUUGACUAAAACUAUUAUUUGAGCCUCCAAUUAACUUUAAUGCGUCAAUUAUUUAUAAGUUAAAACUUGAUUUCACAAUUUAAUUAAAUCAAGGGUUAUAAUGUCUCAAACUUCCCUAUAUAUGCCCAAAAGUGCUCCUCAAUUAUCCAAAACAAGAGAAGGAUCACUUUCAUCCUCUUUAAUUGAACGAAGCAAAACAUACAAAGAAGACAAAAGCAGUCAGAAUCCUCUCCUAUGCAUUUCAUCAUAACAUUCCCCUGCACCAUUAUAUUUAUCAUGCAUUUUUUAUUCUAAAAUCUCAUAGUUGAGAAAAUCAGACUUCUGAAUUAUCCAAAGCAAAAUGUACAAAGUUGACAAAGGUUACUAAUGCUUUGGUUAAGUGUUACUUUCUGCUUUAAGUGUUUGUUGGAAUAAGUGUAAUGGACCACAGUUUUUUAACCAAUCAAGAAACAUGUAAAAACCAAUCACUGACAUAAGGUACCUCAUUUUUCCUUAAACUUAAUUAACCAGAAAAUGCAACGAAUUGCUACAUUUUGAACAAUCAGUUUUUCUUGUUUAAGGCGUAAUAUCUGUUCUCGUUUCCAGAUGUGUAGUAAUUAAAGUUUUUUGAAUUUUUCAGAUGUCAAGUAUGGAAGAUAAUACAACAACUAUAGUUGCAAGCCCAAGUAUGGAUCAUUCUCCUUAAUGUGUUGUAG
rnacentral:lncRNA from 1 species